AGUGAACGCUGGCGGUAGGCCUAACACAUGCAAGUCGAACGGCAGCACAGUAAGAGCUUGCUCUUACGGGUGGCGAGUGGCGGACGGGUGAGGAAUACAUCGGAAUCUACUUUUUCGUGGGGGGUAACGUAGGGAAACUUACGCUAAUACCGCAUACGACCUACGGGUGAAAGCAGGGGAUCUUCGGACCUUGCGCGAUUGAAUGAGCCGAUGUCGGAUUAGCUAGUUGGCGGGGUAAAGGCCCACCAAGGCGACGAUCCGUAGCUGGUCUGAGAGGAUGAUCAGCCUCACUGGAACUGAGACACGGUCCAGACUCCUACGGGAGGCAGCAGUGGGGAAUAUUGGACAAUGGGCGCAAGCCUGAUCCAGCCAUACCGCGUGGGUGAAGAAGGCCUUCGGGUUGUAAAGCCCUUUUGUUGGGAAAGAAAAGCAGCAGGUUAAUACCCCGCUGUUCUGACGGUACCCAAAGAAUAAGCACCGGCUAACUUCGUG
rnacentral:rRNA from 1 species